rnacentral:misc_RNA from 1 species
GUCAGCAGGGAAUAGCUAGCUAGAAGAGCUGCUGGGCAUGGCUUUUUCAAGCAACAUCAAAGAUAUAGGAAUUGAAGCCUUCGCAUUACUGGAGGAGCAUUGCAUAAUCCGAAAGCAGAGGCCUCCUCUUUAUUCCGCCUGUAGCCAUCACAAUCCGCAUCAUCAGCUUUCGCCUGCAAAUCCACAAGUUCAUCAUCAAGCUCGGGAAACUAUCAACUGUGACGAGGCAGCCUUAAAAUAUGGCGGUGUAGUAGUUGCAGAAUAUCGUGCCAAGAAACCACCAGUAGUGCCAAAGUAUGACGGUUUCGUAACUGCAGAACAUCAUGCCAAGAAACCACCGGCAGUGUCAGCACCACCUGCACCAACCCUUCGCUAUUUUCAUUAGGCCUUCUGCAUGGCAUGUAAUUAUUA